CCAUCAUGUCGUGAUCCCGCGAUUCCAGCUGCCUCACAAGACAGGAACCACCGGUUUGGCAAUUCCCUUAAACACUUUGUCCCGCAGCCCUGGCUCAUCCAUCAGACGGACAAAGACCAAGUGCUCCAUGGGGAAGCCCAUAGGGCCAGAGUAGUAUCGGGGGCGCGAGGAUGAGGAGUACAGGUAGGCGGUGCUGGAUGCUCGUGAGCUGAAUGCUGAC